UACGAAGGGGGGCUAGCGUUGUUCGGAAUUACUGGGCGUAAAGCGCACGUAGGCGGACUCUUAAGUCAGGGGUGAAAUCCCGGGGCUCAACCUCGGAACUGCCUUUGAUACUGUGAGUCUCGAGACCGGAAGAGGUGAGUGGAAUUCCUAGUGUAGAGGUGAAAUUCGUAGAUAUUAGGAAGAACACCAGUGGCGAAGGCGGCUCACUGGUCCGGUUCUGACGCUGAGGAGCGAAAGCGUGGGUAGCAAACAGG
rnacentral:rRNA from 1 species